rnacentral:rRNA from 1 species
GUAGGUGGCAAGCGUUGUCCGGAAUUAUUGGGCGUAAAGCGCGCGCAGGCGGUUCUUUAAGUCUGAUGUGAAAGCCCACGGCUCAACCGUGGAGGGUCAUUGGAAACUGGAGAACUUGAGUACAGAAGAGGAAAGCGGAAUUCCACGUGUAGCGGUGAAAUGCGUAGAGAUGUGGAGGAACACCAGUGGCGAAGGCGGCUUUCUGGUCUGUAACUGACGCUGAGGCGCGAAAGCGUGGGGAGCAAACAGGAUUAGAUACCCUGGUAGUCCACGCCGUAAACGAUGAGUGCUAAGUGUUAGGGGGUUUCCGCCCCCCUUAGUGCUGCAGCUAACGCAUUAAGCACUCCGCCUGGGAUACGGCCGCAAGGCUG